GAUGAACGCUGGCGGCGUGCUUAACACAUGCAAGUCGAACGGAAAGGCCCUUGCUUGCAGGGGUACUCGAGUGGCGAACGGGUGAGUAACACGUGGGUGAUCUGCCCUGCACUUCGGGAUAAGCCUGGGAAACUGGGUCUAAUACCGGAUAGGACCAUCGUUUAGUGUCGGUGGUGGAAAGUUUUUUCGGUGUGGGAUGAGCUCGCGGCCUAUCAGCUUGUUGGUGGGGUAAUGGCCUACCAAGGCGUCGACGGGUAGCCGGCCUGAGAGGGUGUACGGCCACAUUGGGACUGAGAUACGGCCCAGACUCCUACGGGAGGCAGCAGUGGGGAAUAUUGCACAAUGGGCGCAAGCCUGAUGCAGCGACGCCGCGUGGGGGAUGACGGCCUUCGGGUUGUAAACUCCUUUCGUCAGGGACGAAGCGAAAGUGACGGUACCUGGAUAAGAAGCACCGGCUAACUACGU
rnacentral:rRNA from 1 species